rnacentral:rRNA from 1 species
UAGGGAAUCUUCGGCAAUGGACGGAAGUCUGACCGAGCAACGCCGCGUGAGUGAAGAAGGUUUUCGGAUCGUAGAGCUCUGUUGUAAGAGAAGAACGAGUGUGAGAGUGGAAAGUUCACACUGUGACGGUAUCUUACCAGAAAGGGACGGCUAACUACGUGCCAGCAGCCGCGGUAAUACGUAGGUCCCGAGCGUUGUCCGGAUUUAUUGGGCGUAAAGCGAGCGCAGGCGGUUAGAUAAGUCUGAAGUUAAAGGCUGUGGCUUAACCAUAGUACGCUUUGGAAACUGUUUAACUUGAGUGCAAGAGGGGAGAGUGGAAUUCCAUGUGUAGCGGUGAAAUGCGUAGAUAUAUGGAGGAACACCGGUGGCGAAAGCGGCUCUCUGGCUUGUAACUGACGCUGAGGCUCGAAAGCGUGGGGAGCAAACAGGAUUAGAUACCCUGGUAGUCCACGCCGUAAACGAUGAGUGCUAGGUGUUAGACCCUUUCCGGGGUUUAGUGCCGCAGCUAACGCAUUAAGCACUCCGCCUGGGGAGUACGACCGCAAGGUUG